UACGUAGGGGGCUAGCGUUGUCCGGAAUCAUUGGGCGUAAAGAGCGUGUAGGCGGUCCGGUAAGUCCGCUGUGAAAGUCGGGGGCUCAACCCUCGAAUGCCGGUGGAUACUGUCGGGCUAGAGUGCGGAAGAGGCGAGUGGAAUUCCCGGUGUAGCAGUGAAAUGCGUAGAGAUCGGGAGGAACAUCAGUUGCGAAGGCGGCUCUCUGGACCAGCACUGACACUGAGGCACGAAAGCGUGGGGAGCAAACAGG
rnacentral:rRNA from 1 species